rnacentral:rRNA from 1 species
UUGACCCUACGGGACGCAGCAGUGAGGAAUAUUGGUCAAUGGUCGGGAGACUGAACCAGCCACGCCGCGUGAGGGAGGAAGGUACAGAGUAUCGUAAACCUCUUUUGUCAGGGAACAAAGACUGGGACGCGUCCCCGGAUGAGUGUACCUGAAGAAAAAGCAUCGGCUAACUCCGUGCCAGCAGCCGCGGUAAUACGGAGGAUGCGAGCGUUAUCCGGAUUUAUUGGGUCUAAAGGGUGCGCAGGCGGUCUGUUAAGUCAGCGGUCAAAGCCCGGGGCUCAACCCCGGCCCGCCGUUGAAACUGG